rnacentral:sRNA from 1 species
AACUUCAACCCACGGUUGCAUACUUCCAAUGACAACACCACUCAUUCCAUCCAAUCGAUGA